UGCCAGCAGCCGCGGUAAUACGGAGGGGGCAAGCGUUGUUCGGAAUUACUGGGCGUAAAGGGUGCGCAGGCGGCGUCGCCAAUCAGGUGUGAAAUCCCCGGGCUCGACCCGGGAACUGCACUUGAUACUGCGAUGCUAGAGUUCGGAAGAGGGUAGUGGAAUUCCCAGUGUAGAGGUGAAAUUCGUAGAUAUUGGGAAGAACACCAGUGGCGAAGGCGGCUCACUGGCUCGAUACUGACGCUGAGGUACGAAAGUGUGGGGAGCAAACAGGAUUAGAUA
rnacentral:rRNA from 1 species